rnacentral:rRNA from 1 species
AACGAACGCUGGCGGCGCGCUUAACGCAUGCAAGUCGAACGAGAAGGCGUAGCAAUACGCUUGUACAGUGGCGAACGGGUGAGUAAUACGUGGGCGACCUACCCUCGAGUGGGGAAUAACCCGCCGAAAGGCGGGCUAAUGCCGCGUACGCUUCCAUCUUUAUGGAGGUGGAAGGAAAGCCGUGCCGUGGGCACGGCGCUCAAGGAUGGGCUCACGUCCUAUCAGCUUGUUGGAGGGUAACGGCCUACCAAGGCCCCGACGGGUAGCUGGUCUGAGAGGACGAUCAGCCACACUGGCACUGCGACACGGGCCAGACUCCGUACGGGAGCAGCAGUGAGGAAUAUUGCGCAA